AACUUAUGUGCAAUUCUUGAAUUCCUAUUAAAUAUACAAUUUGCUCAUAUCCUCAUGUGAUGAAAUUAUUUAGUUAUAAUAUUAUUUUAUAUGGACACAAUAUUUCUCUCUCUUUUCUAAAUUCUUGAAAUUUCCUUUUUGGAUUCAAAUUCCACUUUGAGCUUUAAUAUAUUUCUUGUCACAUUUAUUAUUUUAUUUUCUCACAAUGUGCACACAAAAAUAAUCCCAGCAUGAUGCAUAACUUAGUUAAGUGUCUUUUAUUGAUUAUUUAUUGGUGUAAGUGAGGUGCCCACAUGAAAUGAUAAAUAGGGACGACACUCAUAUAUGCAAAGGAAUAUAAUUUCUCCUUUUAUACUCUUAUUACAAAGUGGGUAUUACAAAUCCUACCCCCCUUAAAAAUAAUCUCGUCCUCGAGAUUAGUAAGAAAGGGGAUCCAACAAGUUUGGUUUAUAGUCUAUGCUUUAGUUUCUAGUUGGUUUUAAUACCAAAAGAUUUGUUUUUUUUAAUAUCACAAAUUAUCAUGUGAUUAGGAAAGCAUGGGUAUAUAUAUAGCUACUUUAUUAUGUAGGAUAAAAGAUGUAUCCAAAGCAUGGAUAGGUUUGGGUAGGGUAAGGAAGGACUCCAUCCUAGAUUGUGGAUCUUGACUCAUCUUGGUGAUCCCGCUUGAUCCUUGAAGACUUGAGUUGGUGUUCAUACUUUCUUGAUGAGGUUGAUCAUCUUCGGUCUCCAAUCUUGGUAUCUCCAUCUGAGCUAGGGAGCUGUAGUUAAGAUGGCUAGGGUCUGUGGAUAGGACUUUUUUUAAUAGGUUUACAUAGAUGGAUUAUGUAACUUAUUGGGAGUGUAUGACUGAGUUGAUCUAUGGCACUAACUUAGGCUUAAGUGAAUUAGGAGUAUGGUUUUGUCCUUUGUACCAGCAUUAAGAAUCACCCACAAGGUUAAAUCAUAAUAGAUUAGAUAGGGCCUAAUUUUUGUCGCCAACAUUAUCUAACUUAUUUAAGUAACUCAAAUUUGGAUUAGAUCAUGGUUGUUAUUCUAGAGUGGGAUCAAUAUGAUAAUUAGGGCAAGAUAAAUCCAUAGGGAUAAGGUAGAAUCCUUUGAGGUCAGUUAGAUCUAUUAAGAUGGGAUAAGUAAAGUGGUUAGGAUAAGAUGAAUCCUUCAAGAUAAGAUGAAUCUAUUAAGAUAAGAGAAUAUUUUUAAGAUAAGAUGGAUCUAUGAGUGUAGGAUAGAAUCUUUUAAUAUGAGAUGGAUAUUGUUAGGUUAGAUACUUUAAUGAGGGAUAAUCUAGUUUAUCUAGUUAGUUUUAUAAGCAUUAUAUAUAUGCAGAUGUAAUUGUGGACAUUACUCCACAACCCAUCACACUCAAUCAAAGAUCCAAAUCAGACAAGUAUCAUAAGAACAAACACUCAAGCGUAUAAAUACGUAUAAAAAUAGUUUUGUUUUUGUUCCUAAGAUUUGCUCUCCUAUUCCUAAAGGUCACUUUAACCACAGGAUUUCAAAGUGUGAAAUCCAAGUUUGUCUUUAGAAGUGAAAAGGUAAGAGUAAUCAGAGUAAAGCGGAAAUAGGUGAGAAAAGAUUAAGAGAAGUUUAGAAAGAAUCAGAGUAAGGUAAGCAAAGAAUGGUUGUCCAGUUCUAUCUAGGUUUCGUCCUACAGUCAACAUUGCUCUGAUACCACUUCUGUCACACCCGGAUUUUAGGGAUCCAAAACCCGGGCGCGAACAUAAUCACCAGGUGUGCUGGGACCAAGUCUCACACAUAUGAUGAUUCAUGGCAUAGGAUCGAAUGUCACAUCUUUACUAUAUAACAGGAGUUCUAUACAAAAUAAAUAAGUAAUUACAUUAUAAAGAGACAACGGUCCAGCAACCCAAAGUUGACUGGGAGACGACGGCCUAGAUCUCUCUCACGAACUCAUCGCAGCAUCCUCCAUGCGCCUCAUCCUGUGGUACCUGUUCUUGACCUGUGGGGGGGGUGUGAGACAGCAAGAGUGAGCUCACAUACGUUCAUCGCUCAACAAGUUGUGGGGAAUAAUGUGAAUGAACUCGCCAAAGGUGGGAGUUCAUGUGAAGUGUAAGGCUUACCAAAGAGGAUGGUUAGAGCUGAGCAUUGCUUUUAAAGUUGGUCAAAAUUUUAUUAGCAAUUACUAAGUAUAAGUAAAUACCAGCCCAAUUAAAUAGUAGAACAAAAGUAAUAACCUCACCUGCGAUGCAAUGCAUAUGACAAAUUGAGUUUAAGUUCCAUAAUUUAAUCAUGUGAGGGUCCGAGCUGCUCAUGACCGUGAGCACGGCUAGUAUACCAGUUUUACACUCUGCAGAGGUUGCGCAUCUUUACCCACAAGUCGUGUUACCCAUCUACCAAGGGAUCGCGACUUCCCAUACACCUCUACCGAGGAGGCGAGGCAGGGUAACACUACGAGGCCUUUACAAAGUUCCACUAGCUUCAGAAAACCCGCUACAGUUUAUAGGAAGCUCCAAUGCAAGAAUUCCCUUGCAGGACCGCCAUCGCAGCAAAAUCCUCCCGAGGGUCUCCCUACACUGACCACUCCCCUACUGCCCUUGCCCCUUUCGGGUAAGGUAGUCCUCCACUAGCUUUCCUAAUUAAUCGGCCAAGGGCGUCCCAUUAAACCCUUGUGGUAGCACUGUUUUCCCGGGUGGUCGCUCCAUGUUCCAAUUAACAUAAUGAUCUUAUCAUGAACAGUAAUAAUAAACAAAUAAUAAAAGUGUGAUCAUGAAUAAUGUACCUUCAUACCCAAAACCACAUAAAGCACUAGCAAGUACUACCCAAAAAGUUCAGUGGUAAACAAGGUAUAAAGAUAGACAAACUAGGGUAACCUAUUGGGUCCCAUCAAAAUUAACCUAUGCAGAUCAUUAUGAUUAAUUAGAACAUGAGUGGGUAAAAAGAAGUGAUCAAGGGCACAACUUGCCUGAGACUUGAGAUUCCAGGUACCAGGAUGAUCUUCAGGUGACUCGUGACCUCACGCUAGUCGUAGCAAUACAAACAAACAUUGUAUAGGCAAAAUUAACAUUACACCAAACAUAAGUAAAAAUAUAUAUUAAUAAUCUACAUAUUAAAAUAAGAUCACAGGAACAAGAAUUAUUAAUUUCGGAGUUAUAGAUUUUAAGUUAUGGAUUUCCAAAGAUUCUAUGUGUUUUGUACAAGAUUAAUUAGGAUAUAAAUUUUAAUGUGGCUUUCAUGUCAAAACAGAGAUAAUAUGUGAUAAACAAUAAUUUUGUAGAAUUAUAGAAAUUAGAAUGGACUCAAAAAGGAGUUAAAAUGCAUUUUAUAGGAAUUAUACAAGUUCUUAACAAUUAUUAUCACAUUAAAAACCAUUUUCUAUUUAUUUUUCCUGGGUUUUCUAACCUUCUGGACUGGGCGUAUAAUAUACAGAGAAGAGCAGGGCUACGGUGCAAAACGACCCAAGACUCAGGACACUAUUCCCUGGACGGCGGGUUGAUUCAGAUAUUUCACGGGGUCGUUUACGCAAAAUGCCCAGGUCGAAGGGGUAUGGGCCAAUCGUGGCCGUUCGAUCAGUGGUGGGCGGUAUGGGUUAGAUCCAUAGACGUCAGAACCUGUAAUUCUACGCGAACCCUUGGAUUACCGAUCACGGGCCAGAAUCUGCCCACGACAACCACCAAUCCGACCUGUUCGCCAAAGAUCCAGCGGUGGACAACCCACAUCUAAUCCCCACCGUGUAUAACCCAUCCAACGCGCCAAAGAUCAUCUUCCUCCUAUCGCUCAGGUCUAGGACGACCGCGCGUCACCCAGGCAUCCGUAUGGCCUUCGAUGAACCGCACGGUCGCGCAAGCGAGGACCGCCGGGUAAACACCGAGGGGAAGCCCGGCCACAGUUCCGCCACCACUGGAGUUAGGCGAUGAGCAUGCCCAGGACGCACGACCGAGAUCCACGAAGAGUUCGCGCAGAAAAUUCAUUACUUCUAUGUGCAGGGUGUUCUGACCUUGCGACGAAGCUCGACGAAGAUUCCGUGGGCGCGGUUUGGUGAAGCGAUGCUCCGGCGUGUUCGUCGAGUCGGACGGUACCCAGCCCGCGGCAUGAGGUGGAUCGCGGGCAGGAUUCAAUCGCUCCGAUGAGCAAUCCCCGGACUUCGAGCGCCGAUGCAGGUAGGCGUCUAUGGCGGCGGACAGAGACGCGGGGAGGGAGCAGAGAAGGGGCGCACCGAGCGGAGGCCACUGGGGAGGGAGCAAUGGUGAUGCGAUUUGGGUUAUAUAGCCCACCAUGGACAGGGUCCGAGCGAAAGAAGCGGCGCAGGGUAGAUGGAAAUCCAUCCACGCGAUUUUGUUGCGAUACGCAGUGGAGCGUGCGCGGGAUCCACGGCGGAAGUAUGUGACGGCUUUGGCCCGCGGUUGAAGCUGACGGCGUGGGCCCAUCCUGUCGGUGACAUGCUGAGAGAGGAAGCGCGCCAAGCGACUGACCAGAGGGCCCACAUGUCGGCACUACUGCGAACGCGGGUGUGCAACGGGUUAAUGGGCCGAGCGGGAGAGUUGUUCUUCGGGUGGGCCGGAGUCAAGGUGAGUUCUCUUUUUUUUUUCCUUUUGUUUUUAUUUUUAUUAUUUUUUUCUUUUAUGCUUAAUCCUUUUGGAUCCAAAUUUUAAAUUCAACUUAUGUGCAAUUCUUGAAUUCCUAUUAAAUAUACAAUUUGCUCAUAUCCUCAUGUGAUGAAAUUAUUUAGUUAUAAUAUUAUUUUAUAUGGACACAAUAUUUCUCUCUCUUUUCUAAAUUCUUGAAAUUUCCUUUUUGGAUUCAAAUUCCACUUUGAGCUUUAAUAUAUUUCUUGUCACAUUUAUUAUUUUAUUUUCUCACAAUGUGCACACAAAAAUAAUCCCAGCAUGAUGCAUAACUUAGUUAAGUGUCUUUUAUUGAUUAUUUAUUGGUGUAAGUGAGGUGCCCACAUGAAAUGAUAAAUAGGGACGACACUCAUAUAUGCAAAGGAAUAUAAUUUCUCCUUUUAUACUCUUAUUACAAAGUGGGUAUUACACCGACUUAAGCUGAUUACUCCGUUGGUAGGGUAUAGUGGUCACUCUAAGUCAUGUAAGCGUGAGCAUGUUGCACCGACUUAAGACGUUCCUGACUUAAGUCGAUUGCUCCGUCGGUAGGGUAUAGUGAUCACCCUAAGUCAUGUAAUUUUGAGUCGAAUACAAUCUCAGUCAGUUGUCAGUCAAGAGUUUGAAUGUCUUUGGAAGAUGAAAGCUUUAUUGAUGAUGAAACCUUCUAGUUACAGAGUACAACUUUCCUUCGUGACUUUUGAGGCAUCGCUAAGGGUAGAACUUUCUGAGGUGCUCAAUGUUCCAUGAGUUCCCCACUUCUGUGUCGUCCAUCUGAGUAAGCCGAUAGGAUCCCGGCCGUGUGACCUCCGCUACGAUGAACGGUCCUUCCCAUCGUGGUGACAGCUUGUGUCGUCCCUCCCCCGUUAGUAUUCAGCGGAGGACCAAGUCUCCCACUGCAAAGGAUCGGUGCCGCACAACUUUGUCAUGGUAGCACCUCAAGGUCUGCUGGUACCUGGCCGACUGAAUUACUGUGUUCAAUCGUUCCUCCUCUAGCACAUCAAUGUCUUCUAGCCUGGUUGCUUCUGCCUCAGCU
rnacentral:lncRNA from 1 species